CACGUAGGGGGCGAGCGUUGUCCGGAUUUAUUGGGCGUAAAGGGCUCGUAGGCGGCUCAGUAAGUCGGGUGUGAAACCUCCAGGCUCAACCUGGAGACGCCACUCGAUACUGCUGUGGCUAGAGUCCGGUAGGGGAGCAUGGAAUUCCUGGUGUAGCGGUGAAAUGCGCAGAUAUCAGGAGGAACACCAGUGGCGAAGGCGCCGCUCUGGGCCGUGACUGACGCUGAGGAGCGAAAGCGUGGGUAGCAAACAGG
rnacentral:rRNA from 1 species